UCCAGCAGCCAUAUCACUCUGCAACCCACUGAAGUUAAGCAGGUGUGAGCCCGGCCAGUACCUGGAUGGGAGACCUUCUGGGAAAAACUAAGGUUGCUGCUGGAA
rfam:Lepisosteus oculatus linkage group LG7, whole genome shotgun sequence.